rnacentral:rRNA from 1 species
CUCCUACGGGAGGCAGCAGUAGGGAAUCUUCCGCAAUGGACGAAAGUCUGACGGAGCAACGCCGCGUGAGUGAUGAAGGGUUUCGGCUCGUAAAACUCUGUUGUUAAGGAAGAANACAUGAGGUAGUAACUGGCCUUGAUGAUGACGGUACUUAACCAGAAAGCCACGGCUAACUACGUGCCAGCAGCCGCGGUAAUAC